rnacentral:lncRNA from 1 species
UGAAAAUCUGUCCAUUCAUAAUUUAUCUAAAAAACGAACUCAUUUAUUAAUCAUCAUAUUAAGUCUCAACAAUUACGUCUCAUCUUUAAGGCACAUCAUAAUACCACUCUAUUUAGUUCUAUCGCAUUAAACAACUUGCCCCAAAUCCAUUAAUACCUACUCAGCCCCAAAUCCAUUAAUACCUACUCAGCACAUGGCACAUGGGAUAGUAGAGGACAAGUAUAUGAAGACUCAUGUCCAAGGAUCAGACCAAACUAUCUACAUCUCUCCUCCCAGCCUAGCUCAGGGCACAUCCUCUCUUCCUUUUUGUCUUUCCUUCCCAAUACUCCAAUCAUUCUUUCUGACAGCUCUUUGCCCUGUCCUAAAUAGGGUGAACUACCCAUCUUCACCAUUUAUCCAUUAGUGUAUCAACAACUGAGACAGUGAGCAUGAACCCACUUCUGACCAAGUAACAUUUCUAAUGGACCAGGCUAAUCGAAACAACCAAAUUACCAAGACCUACAACAACAACCAAACUAUCCAAUACAUUAAUCAGACUCAACCACAAAACCAAAACUUUGGAAUGUACUAUUACGACCUAUACAACCUGGAUGCCCAACAUUCUCCUUUACAACAAAUAUAUUACGAAGCUUACCCUAGUCACCAGCCCACGAACCAGAAAAUUACAACUUAAAACCAGAAUAACUCUCACCAGUUUUCUAAGUUGCAAGAAAAAGUUUGGAAUUGGCAAGAGCAGUUUAGACAAUCUCAGGAAUUCCAACAACAAUAGCAACAAGUAUACAAGCAACAACAUUAACUUUUACAGUGUAACGUGCAAGAACUAUUGACGGCCCAGCGCCAUCAGAGGGGAUGGUGUAAUGACGAAGAGACAAGAGCUUUCUCAAUCAGGCAAGGCUAGGACCGCAAUUGGAACCGAUAAAACCGACAACAGAGAAAUAAAGCAGGCAACAACCCAAGGGCCGAUAAGGGAAUUACACAGUGAAGGGAUCUGGAGUAUGUUUUCAUACAAUAUGGAAUGAUGAAUUUCAAACUCUUUGCAAAGAGUUGCAGGAUUUGCAGACUGCACAGCUGGGUUAUACAAAAUGAAUGCCAAUCACUCAGAUCCCCUAGCAAUGUGUAUCCAGACAACUUAAAAUUGCUAAAAGAAGUGUACGAUGGUAAAAAGGAUCCCACAGGCCACCUAUUGCAAAUAACAAGCUGCAUGGAUAUUUUUGGGCAUCAAAUGAGUUAAAGUGCAAAGUCUUCCCUACGACACUCUGAGGGAAUGCAAAAAACUAGUAAAAUUCUCACACCCAGGAUUAUUUAGCAGCUUUUGAUGAAUUGUCCGAACUCUUUGUUGGUCAUUUUGUUGGGUUUUUGAACAAUUUAUCCAAAGGAAGUAUGAAGCUCAGUCAAGAACUUGAACAACAACUUAAAAAAUCCGAAUAAAGAAUGAAGGAAGAUUGAGCUUCAAAAGGCUCGAUAUUUGCAAGAUAAACAAACAGAAUUUUACUUGGUAAAAGAAAGCAAAAAUUGAGAGAUUAUUUUUCUUGAAUGAUUUCUAUUGAAAUUCAUU